rnacentral:rRNA from 1 species
AACGAACGCUGGCGGCAUGCCUAACACAUGCAAGUCGAACGAGACCUUCGGGUCUAGUGGCGCACGGGUGCGUAACGCGUGGGAACCUGCCCUUAGGUUCGGAAUAACUCCCCGAAAGGGGUGCUAAUACCGGAUAAUGUCUUCGGACCAAAGAUUUAUCGCCUUUGGAUGGGCCCGCGUUGGAUUAGCUAGUUGGUAGGGUAAAAGCAUACCAAGGCGACGAUCCAUAGCUGGUCUGAGAGGAUGAUCAGCCACACUGGGACUGAGACACGGCCCAGACUCCUACGGGAGGCAGCAGUGGGGAAUAUUGGACAAUGGGGGAAAGCCUGAUCCAGCAAUGCCGGGUGAGUGAUGAAGGCCUUAGGGUUGUAAAGCUCUUUUACCCGGGAUGAUAAUGACAGUACCGGGAGAAUAAGCUCCGGCUAACUACGUG